rnacentral:lncRNA from 1 species
CUGGGGGCGGUGCCGGGGGAGGCUACGGUCCCGGUGCCGGCCCCGCCGGUAACUCCGCCUGCCGUAUUAAUGGGAAAACAAGCGGCUGCAGAGCGUUGGGCCGAGCCGUGCUGUGCCGUGUCGGAUCGGGCGGAGCCGGGUCAUGGUCCCCAGGGCGGCGGCAGCCCCAGCCUAGCGCGGCGGGGGUGGCGGGGGGAUGCGGCGGGAGCCGCCAGAGCGGCUGGCGCGGAGCAGCGCUGGGAUGGAGUCACCACAGGCCCCUCGGCCACCUCAGCCCACCCAGCCCCUCACUGCUGCUGCUGGACCAGGUAGGACCCUGGGCUACAGUUCCUUGCCUACCAGCCACCCCGACACCACAGGAAUGGGCUUCCCAAUGCCACUGUCCCCGUCGCUGUGGCACGGGGUGCUGCCUUGCCGGACCCAGCCCAGUUCCCACACACUGUAACACAGCAGAGCCAAUGCUGGGCCAGUUUUUGGGGGGCAAACCUGCCCUCCCAGCUCUGCAGGGAGGCACUGGGACCCCCAUCUCCUUUCUCAUGGCAUCUUGCUCUUCCCAGCCCAUCACAUGGACAGACACCCCAAGGCCACUGGAGUCACCUCAGCUCUGGCAGCUGCACCCCCCCAGCUUUGGAGCAGGUAAUGAGGAGGAACCCAAGUCCCCUCCCCAUCUCUGCAUAGUCAAUGCUUAUUGUUAAAUAAAGGAAAUUCUUUUUCUCCAAGAAACAUCCUCCCUGUUGUCCUCUGCUGCUCUUUAAAGCCAAGUGUCCACCCAUCUUUAGUGCAACACAGAGCAGCCAGCGUCAACCCGUGCACCCAGGCCCUUGGUGGCCACAACACCCAAUGCUCAGAGGACGUGGUGAGGUGACAGCUGGGGGGGUCCCUGUUGUGGGCAGAGAAGGUGCACAUCUCCCAGUGCUGGUGACAACUCUCGAAGGGCUGAUAUGGAAGGUCAGUGCUACAACCCACUUAGUCCUUCCUCUGUCCCCACCAUGCACUGAGGCAAACUUGUGCUGAUGUCCUCAUUGUCACACAGCUGUGCCACACUGUGGCUGGGGACUCUGCCCACCCUGGCCACCCAACAGCAUUGUCCCAGAGCACUGGGGUGCUUGGUGCUGGCACACAGUGGGCAUCAGACCCCAUGUCCCACAGCAGCUGAAGCCACCAUCAGCCUUGCUUUCCAGCCCAGGGGACAUGUCACAGCCAUGGGUCACAGAAGACAACAAAGCCAGAGGGUACUGAGCCAGCACAGCUCCUCUGGCAUAGGGAGGUGAUGCAGGUAUCACUGCUUACAUGUGGGUUGGGGCACCCACCACAACACCCCUCUGCCAC